UGAAAACAUAAUACUAUGUCCUAUUUAAUUUAAAUAAUUUUUUGAAAAAAAUAUUUGAAUCCGAACCAGAUUUCGGACACUGCUUCAGAGUUUUAAAAAAUUAUUCGAUAAAAAAGAACUGUAACGGUUCGCGUAAAAUGUAUUAUUAUUAUACAAUGCAAACAGCAGCUUUUCUUUUUUUAGAUUUAAAGAGAAGCAAGGAUGUUAUUAGUAUUUCAACGAUAUCGCGUGUGUGCAAUGUAUUUAUUUUCCUUCAAAAACUUUUAGGAGUACACUUAAGUUUACAUAAUAUAGGUAACGACGUUAAGGCGAUAGAUAAUGGAAAACGAAUGUAGCCGGUAGCUAGGUAUCUACAUUCUACUUUAGAGAGGCUACUUUUUUCGAUUUGUCCAGUAGACAUAAAAUAUAUAUAAUGCAAUUUCCAAAGAUGUCCACAGUGUCCGAACGAAAUAAAUAAUCGAUUUAAGUUAUUUUGAAAUUAUACAGAGAAAAUAAAUUGCGCUCAGACUCCGAAUAGUUUUUCGAAUGCAAUUACUUAUAUGGUCUCUUUCAACGCGGUUAGAUAAAAAUUACAUCCACGCCAGCACAUUCACGUAAGUAAUGACAUUUUUUUUUUUAUAAUACAUUUAACGUCAGCCAGUUUGUGGGUCGAAAGAAAAACCACACACGUAAUGUAAGUGUUUAGGUACCAUUAUACGAUUUUUAAAAAGUGAUGGGCACAGACAUAGAAAAAAAUCCCAAACUUAUUUGUAAAACCAAUAUUAGCUAUAGGUAUACGUCCCUGUCACCGCUUGCAAAAUCUAAAAUUCCAAUUUUCGGGCGAGGUUCGAAAUAAGUAAGCCCACAACACAGACUUCAACGACAUGUUAUAAACUCGCUUCGGUGAAUUCGUGAAUUGUUUUUUUUUUUUGUUUGUUUUAUAUAUAGCCUGCAGUAUUGAAAUAAUGAUGUUUAAUCUGUGUACUUACUUAAUAGAACUCUACACUUUCUGUUGUCCGGAGGCGAAGGAAGAAGAAACCUUUUAGCCAAAGAUCGAACAGUCGACCAAAAUAAAUACCCAAACAUAAUAUAGGACAUGCAAUAAUUAAGGACGGUGAACACUGGAUAAAUACCAUAAACGUUUAUAUUUGUACACCCUUCGGUUAUUUACCCAAUCGGUACUCCGGACUCGGUCACACGCCUGCAGUCAAAAAAAAAUCAUCAAAAAUAAUGGAACGACGUCAACAGCAACAAAAACAACAUCAAAAACAACAACAGCGACAACAUUAUUGUUAUUAAUAAUAAAUAAUGGAAUAUUAUAUAUAUUUAAUGUUGUGGUUGUUGUUGUUAUUAUUACUCUCGACGGGUGACCAUUAACUUGUUUGAAAAGUUAAUUUGUUAAUAUAACCAUAUAACCUUAGGUAGUUAAUUUUUUUUUUCCGCAACCGUUAACCGGUAGAUAGUAUAAUAUAGUUUUUGAUGAUGUAUAAAAAAUAAAAUAUGAUAUUUUUAUUAUAAGAAAUAAUAAGACUAUGUACCCGGCCUUACAUUAAAUACAUCGUUAAAUAUUAAUAUCUAUUAUAUUAACUCGACUGGUUUAAUAUUUUUGUGUAUACAAUGUAUAGACGCGACUUUUUACAGUUUUUUUUUUUUUAUAAAGUCUACAGUUUUUCAUCUUUGUUUAAACGAUUUUUUUAAUCUAAUCUAACUUUAAACUGGUAGACUAUAGUAGUUGUAUUUAUAUUAUGUAGUAUGUGCA